UACGUAGGGUGCGAGCGUUGUCCGGAAUUAUUGGGCGUAAAGGGCUCGUAGGCGGUUUGUCGCGUCUGCUGUGAAAACUCGGGGCUUAACUCCGGGCCUGCAGUGGGUACGGGCAGACUAGAGUGCGGUAGGGGAGACUGGAAUUCCUGGUGUAGCGGUGAAAUGCGCAGAUAUCAGGAGGAACACCGGUGGCGAAGGCGGGUCUCUGGGCAGUAACUGACGCUGAGGAGCGAAAGCGUGGGGAGCGAACAGG
rnacentral:rRNA from 1 species